UGUAAGCGUAUACCAAAGUUGUUGCAGUUAAAACGCUCGUAGUCGUAUUUUGGCAGCUGUCGUAGAAUGUCCGCAAGGAUUGUUUUGCGUCGGCUGCCUUUGUGGAGGGCGGCCUAGUGGUGCUUUAUUGCCUCGCUAGGUUGCUACCACCGUUUACUGUGAAAAAUUAGAGUGUUCAAAGCAAGCGUUUGCCCUGAAUACAUUAGCAUGGAAUAAUAGAAUAGGACCUGGUCUUAUUUUGUUGGUUUGUGAAGUUCAGGUAAUGAUUAAGAGGGACGGUUGGGGGCAUUUGUAUUCCAGCGCUAGAGGUGAAAUUCUUGGAUUGCUGGAAGACAAACAGCUGCGAAAGCGUCUGCCAAGGACGUUUUCAUUGAUCAAGAACGAAAGUAAGGGGAUCGAAGACGAUCAGAUACCGU
rnacentral:rRNA from 1 species